UUGUUCCCGGAAAGUGAGCAAAGUUUUAUCAGUUUGUAAUUUGCAUUUUUUCAGUCUUUUGAAUUCGAGUGAGAGUGAGAGGGCAGAAGGAGAAAGAGCAGGGUUUGUGUUUGUGAUGGAUGGUUUGAGACUUUCAGAUGUAAAUUUGCAAAGACUUCGUAUGAUUGAUCAUUAACUCAAAUAACUCAUUUUUCUCUCAUAUUCUUCUCGUAAUAUUUCAAAAUCUGAACUGGACUUAUAUUCUUCGAUUCACUCUAUUGAAGAGGCUAUUUCUACAAUUGCACAAUUGAUUACAAAUACAUGACACGAGUUUAAGCCAAUGGGCAAAUGAUCUGAUAUCCUGAUACAAAGCAAGGAAGGACAUACUGAUAAAUUUAAAACUAUGCUGCAUCUCGAAAAUGGACCUUUGAGGAUUAUUGAUAGAAAUGCUUAUGGUAAACAAAAUCCGUUGAAAUUUAGUCGACAUCGUAAAAGUUCCACACAAGCGAUCAAACAUAUAAAUUAAAAACUAACUCAGACGGGCAAAGAAGAUACAUCCUUUACCUCAAAGAAGUCCUGUAGAGCGGUCAUUUUAAUGGCACUUGACUUCAAGCUCUUGAUUCCCUCGGCAGUCGCUAACGCUCCAGCCACUGUGGUUAUAACAGGGACCUUGUAGGCUAGAGCCAUUUGUCUGAGCUCUCUCCCAUCUUUCUGGUCAAGAGCAUCUCCCGAGCUUGUGAUCAACAUCAACUGGAUCUGACCAUUAGCCACCAUAUCAGCAGCAUGUGGUCUUCCUUCAUGCAACUUCAGCACUUUCUCCACGGCAAUGCCUUUCAGGUCCAGAAAAUGAGCUGUUCCCGAGGUGGCAACGAUCUUGAACCCGAGCUCGAGGAAGGACACCGCGAUUUUCUCUAGGUGCGAUUUGGUCAUAUCGUUUAAGCUGAGGAAGACUGUCCCGGUUAAAGGUAGCUUUUGACCUGCAGCGAUCUGAGCCAUUGCAAACGCACUUGAAAAUUCAGAACUGAUGCUCAUCACUUCUCCUGUGCUUCUCAUCUCUGGCCCGAGUAUCACAUCACAUCCUUGGAACUUCUCAAAUGGGAAAACAGCUUCUUUGACAGAGAUGUGUUUAGGGAUGACUUCUUUUUCAAAGUUAAUGUCUUUGAGAGAUUUGCCUGACAUGACCAGUGCAGCAUACUUGGCAAGCGGAUGUCCAAUGGCUUUCGAGACAAAAGGGACAGUACGGGAAGCUCGGGGAUUGGCUUCAAGCAAGAAAACAUCCCCAGAUGUCGUGAUUGCAUACUGACAAUUCAUCAGCCCACAUACAUUUAGCUUCUUCGCCAGCUUAGUGGUCCAUGAACGGAUAGUUUGUAAACAAGAAGAUGGGAUAGUUUGUGUUGGAAGCAUACAGGCCGAGUCACCAGAAUGCACACCAGCUUGUUCGAUAUGCUCCAUUAUUCCACCAAUCACCACAUUUCCAUAGGAAUCAGUAAGGGUAUCAACGUCGAUCUCAAUGGCAUCAGAGAGAUAUUUAUCUACCAAAACAGGUCUCUCUGGGUCAACUUCAACCGCAUUUUCCAAAUACGUUAUUAAUCUACUGUCAUCAUAAACGAUCUCCAUUGCCCGUCCACCUAGAACAUAAGAAGGUCUUACCACAACUGGGUAGCCUACCUCCUUCGCAAUGGCUAAGGCAUCAGCUUCGCUCUUUGCAAUGCCUCCCUUGGGUUGCUCAAUUUUCAGCUCAUCAAGAAUUGCAUUAAACCUCUCUCUGUCUUCAGCAGCAUCAAUGGAGUCAGGUGAUGUACCCCAGAUGCGAACAGGUCCCUCUCCGCUCAAACUCAUGGGCAUGUGCUUAUCCAAAUAACGUUUGAUUGGGAGAGCAAGUUUCAGAGGAGUUUGACCACCAAAUUGCACUAUUAUUCCAUCAGGUUUUUCAAGAUCAAUAACAUUGAGAACAUCCUCGAUUGUGAGAGGUUCAAAGUAGAGCCUAUCGCUUGUAUCAUAAUCUGUGGAUACUGUUUCAGGAUUUGAGUUCAACAUUAUGGUCUCAUAUCCAGCAUCCUGCAAAUAUAUUUAAAUAGUCGAUAUGUAAAUUUUGCGAAACAAAGUUGAAAGAUGUGUGGCAACAACAGUAAGGCGAGAGACGCUUAGAUUGUCUAGGACUAACCUGUAAGGCGAAAGAUGUGUGGCAACAACAGUAAUCAAAUUCAAUCCCUUGACCAAUACGAUUUGGCCCUCCACCCAAAAUCAAAACCUUCUUCUUGCUGUUUGGAGCUGAUUCACAUUCAAAAUCAUACGAAGAGUACAUGUAUGGUGUAUGCGCUUCGAACUCUGCUGCACAUGUAUCAACUCUCUUGUAAGAUGGAACAACUCCUAAAGAAAUCCGCUUUGUACGGACUUCUUCUUCUGUUGUCUUUGUAGCAUAAGCGAUUUGCUUGUCACUAAAUCCCCGCUUUUUGACUUCGUAAAGGUCUUCUUUUGUAAUCUCUGACAAGGUUCCGCACAUAAGAUACUGUUCCACGUCCACAAGCUCUUUAAGCUGGGUUAGGAACCACUUGUCUACCAUGCUCAACUCGUAGAUUUCAUCAAUCUUCAUACCCUUUUUCAUGGCAGCAUAUAUCGCAUGGAUCCUGUCCGGAUUUGGGACUCUAAGGCUGUAUUUAAGCUGAUCCCAGUCCCAAUCUAGCUCUUUGAUUUUUGCACAACCCCAACCUGAGAAUCCAGACUCCAGAGACCUCAGAGCUUUCUGGAAAGAUUCUUGGAAUGUGCGGCCGAGAGCCAUAGAUUCCCCCACAGAUUUCAUCUGGGUCGUUAGCAAGGGCUGAGAUCCUGGAAACUUUUCAAAUGCGAAUCUAGGAAUCUGCAGGAUAUAAAAAAGUGUAUAGAAUAAGCAAAUUAUGCAUCGAGUUUGUAUUUCCUCAAGUGGAUAUACGUGAGUAAAUCCUGAAACUCAAGAGAGCAUCUCAUUUUGCAACACAAAAAAGAAAGCCAAAAGAAUGCACUCGAAAGAAUGACAAACCUUAGUCACCACAUAAUCGAUGGAGGGCUCGAAGCUAGCUGGUGUUUUCCUGGUGAUAUCAUUAGGAAUCUGAUCCAAGGUAUAACCAACAGACAACUUGGCUGCCAUUUUAGCAAUGGGAAAUCCUGUAGCCUUGGAAGCAAGAGCAGAAGAUCUCGAGACCCUAGGGUUCAUCUCUAUGAUCAUAACUUCACCAUCAACGGGGUUAACUGCAAACUGCACAUUAGAUCCACCACACUCAACACCAAUCUCCCUUAUAAUGGCAAUGGAAUAAUCCCUAAGCCGCUGGUACUCCCUAUCCGUAAGGGUCUGUGCAGGCGCCACAGUAAUGGAAUCACCCGUAUGCACACCCAUAGGAUCAAUGUUCUCAAUGGAACAGAUAAUGACAACAUUGUCAGCUAAGUCUCUCAUCACCUCAAGCUCAUAUUCUUUCCAACCCAACAACGACUUCUCAACAAGAACCUGACUUGUCACACUGGCAGCCAAACCGGCUUUACAAAUGGACUCAAACUCCUCUUUGUUAUAGGCAAUUCCACCACCAGUACCACCCAAAGUAAACGCAGGACGGAUAAUCAAAGGGAACUCACCAAUUCUCCCAGCAAUGUCGAAACACUCAUCAAGAGUGUUCCCAAUCCCUGAAGGUGGAGUCUUUAGCCCAAUGUUCUUCAUGGCCUGCUUAAACAAAUCACGAUCUUCAGCUUUCUUAAUAGCACCAAGCUUAGCCCCAAUCAAUUCAACACCGUAUCUCUCGAGAGCACCACUCUCAGCAAGAGCAACGGCAAGGUUCAGUGCGGUUUGGCCACCCAUGGUAGGCAACAAAGCGUCAGGCCUCUCUUUCUCAAUAACCUGCUCGACGAGCUCAGGAGUCAUGGGAGCAAUAUAGGUCCGAUUAGCAGUCUCCGGGUCAGUCAUGAUAGUAGCCGGAUUGGAAUUGAUGAGAAUGACAUCGUAACCCUCUUCCCUAAGGGCUUUACAAGCUUGAGUUCCAGAGUAAUCAAACUCGCAAGCUUGGCCAAUCACAAUGGGACCAGCACCGAGAAUCAUAAUCUUCUUCAGAUCGGUCCUUUUCCCGACGAUCUCCGGAGAAAAGGCCUUGGUAGUGGUGUCGGCGAGCUCUGAGACGGGUUUGAGAACACGAGUAACGGAGGCUUUGCGGUUGAGACAUGGGAGAAAAGUGGAGAAGGAAGAAGAAGAAGAGCCAAGCUUGGAUUUAGCUCUGUAAUUGUUGGCAGAGCGAGAGAAGAAGGUGGAAUUGGAGAGCUUGGAAGGAGAGAAGCGAGGAUGAGAUUUUGAAGAAGCGAAAAUGUUAGAAGAGAGUUCUAAGCAAUGGUUACUCAUUUCGUCUGUGUCGGCUCUCUGUUACUGGGUGAGAGACUGCAGAAGAGAGAGUAGUAAGUGAGACACCAGAAAGAGAGAGAGGGUUUUAUUUAGGGUUUCUCGGGAAUUUGGAUUAUUUCGGUUUAUUAUAUUUUUAUUAAAUUUUUUAUUUGUCCUUUUCAAAGUUUCGUGGCAUAUUGAUCUGAUUUAUAUAUCACACGUUCAACAAAAGCUUUGGGAAAAAUUUGACAACUGUAAAAGAAAGAUCAUAAAGGGUCCGAGAGUCCGACCAGAAACAAAAUACUGAAAUAGAUAUGUAAGGAAUAAAAACACUACUGUUUAGGUUAUUUGAUUGACUCAAUUAUUUACAUCACUGUUUCCCUAAUUUCCUUUUUAAAGAACAAAUGUGAUACCAUAUAUCUUUUUAUGAUUUAAACCCCUUCGAAAGUACAGUUUUAAAUGAACAUACUCAACAUAGGCAAAAGAAGAGGGCACACGAGCCUGUCAAGGGUUAAUGUGGGAUCAGGCGAAGAAUAAGACCAAAGAAAUAUAAACUAAAUGAUAUCGCAGCCAUAGCAAGGACGUUGUGGACAGAUUGGGUUUUGGUCUUUGGGUUUAUAAAACACACAUCUCUUAAAAUCCAAAUAAUUUUAAUUAGGCCCAUAAGCCCAAUAUGAUUAAUUUCAUUUAGUCGUCACAAAAUAGCAAAGCCUCUCACCACUGGAAUUAGGGUAACGCCAUUGUUGUUGGUUCUUUGUCACUCACCACCGUCCGUGACAAGAGUUAUAGCUUGUAGAGUGUCACCUUCUUCAAGCUUAGGUAACACCAUUAUCUUCCUUCGUUAAUCUUCAACGAUCUUCAGUAUCUUCCAUAGUAUCGAUUUUUGCUGUUGUUUAGCUUUCAUAUUCCUGCAAAAUGAAAUCGAAGAAGUAUCGUUUUCUUGUUUAGAUAGAGAUUUCGUUUUGUAGCUUUUUCCAAUUGUUUCAUCUUACUUGCAGCUGAGAUUUUCACUUCUAGACUAUUAGCAACUCUUAGGAUCUGUUUAGAAUUGAGUGUAGGCUUUGUUUAGCAACUGUUUUAAAAUUGCUUUGUUGAUUCUUUAUCCUAAACCAUAAGGUCUAAUGUGUAAGUGGAACCAACACCGCAUCUUCUCUACCUUUGUCUCUCUUCGCAGACAACAAAUCUUCAGUGUUCGUCGAUUCCAAACCACCACAACCCUUGGCAAACCCAUCUCCAUUGCUUCAAUUCAGAUUCCGAUGGACGCCACUGAACAAUCUCUCCGUCAAUCCCUAUCGGAGAAAUCGUCAUCUGUCGAAGCUCAGGGUAACGCCGUCCGAGCUCUCAAGGCCUCCCGUGCAGCGAAACCGGAUAUCGAUGCCGCUAUCGAGCUACUUAACAAAUUGAAGCUCGAGAAAUCCGCAGUUGAGAAGGAGCUUCAGUCCACAAUUAGUGGCUCUGGUAAUGGUUCUCUUAACCGUGAGGCCUUUCGAAAAGCUGUAGUCAACACUCUUGAGCGGCGUUUGUUCUAUAUUCCUUCGUUUAAAAUCUACAGUGGCGUCGCUGGACUUUUUGAUUAUGGUCCUCCUGGAUGUGCUAUUAAGUCCAAUGUCCUGAGCUUUUGGCGUCAAGUAAGGAACACUGUUCACAUUUCUCUGUAUUCAAAGUCAACAAGAUUUAUAGAGUAGAAUUUGAGUUAGGUUUGUUCUUACACGGGAUAGAUUUGGGUAGAAUUUGACAUGAUUGAUAGAGUAAAAAUUGUGUUAGGUUUGUUCUUAUAUGCUAUUUGAUUUGAUUUGCAGCAUUUCAUUCUUGAGGAGAACAUGCUAGAAGUUGAUUGUCCAUGUGUGACACCAGAGGUUGUUCUCAAGGCAUCGGGGCAUGUAGAUAAGUUCACUGAUCUUAUGGUUAAGGAUGAGAAAACUGGAACAUGUUACCGUGCAGACCACUUGCUCAAGGAUUAUUGCACAGAGAAGCUGGAGAAAGAUCUUACCAUCUCUGCUGAUAAAGCUGCUGAACUGAAGGAUGUUCUUGCUGUUAUGGAAGAUUUUUCUCCUGAACAGCUAGGUGCGAAAAUUAAGGAGUAUGGGAUCACUGCUCCGGACACAAAGAACCCACUUUCUGAUCCUUACCCGUUUAACUUGAUGUUUCAAACAUCCAUUGGCCCAUCUGGUCUAAUUCCUGGGUGAGUAUUUUUAAUGUUAUGAUUGUUUCUGAGCUACUUUCUUUCCUGAUUUUUUAAUAUCAAAUUACUCUUUUUUUUGUGUGUUUCAGUUACAUGCGUCCUGAAACUGCUCAAGGCAUCUUUGUGAACUUUAAGGACCUGUACUAUUACAAUGGGAAGAAACUUCCAUUUGCCGCGGCUCAAAUUGGUCAAGCCUUUAGAAAUGAGGUAAUAUAUUGCUUUCCUUGAUGUAUGGGAUGUGUUCAUCUUCUGUAAAAGACUAUUUUCUCUAUUGUGUCUGGGUUUAAAUAAGUAGCAUAUUACUCGCAGAUAUCUCCUCGUCAAGGACUUCUUAGAGUUCGUGAAUUCACGCUGGCAGAGAUUGAGCACUUCGUUGAUCCUGAAAAUAAGUCACAUCCCAAAUUUCGUGAUGUAGCAAAACUGGAAUUCCUUAUGUUCCCAAGGGAGGAACAAAUGUCUGGCCAAUCUGCAAAAAAACUUUGCCUUGGUGAAGCUGUUGCUAAGGUUAGUAUUUGUAAUAAUAGUAGCCUAUUUAAUUUUUACUAAGCUCUCUUCCACACCCAUUUUUAUAUCUUAUUGAUGCCUGCAAUUGAAAACCUAUACGUAUAGGGUACUGUGAACAAUGAAACUCUAGGAUACUUCAUUGGGAGAGUAUAUCUUUUCCUUACCCGCCUUGGCAUAGACAAGGAACGGCUGCGCUUCCGUCAGCAUCUAGCAAAUGAAAUGGCCCACUAUGCAGCAGAUUGUUGGGAUGCUGAAAUUGAGAGUUCAUAUGGGUGGAUUGAAUGUGUUGGGAUUGCAGAUAGGUCUGCCUACGACCUGCGUGCUCAUUCUGUAUGAACCUCACCUUUACUUAUAUUUUCAUCAUUUCGUUUGACAGCUAUAGAUAAUUAAUGAUCAAAAGCCGUAAGUAUUCCUAGUUAAACUCAUGUUGAUCAACUGUUGCACGACAGGACAAAAGUGGCGUUCCCCUAGUGGCUGAAGAGAAAUUUGCAGAACCUAAAGAAGUAGAGGUAUUUUAGUGAACAAAUUCAUUCGUCUCUGAUUCUUUGUCGUUAUAACUUCCCCUUAAUAAGGUUCUCUUCUAUUUCAGAAACUUGUGAUUACACCUGUGAAGAAAGAACUGGGUCUUGCAUUCAAGGGAAAUCAAAAGAAUGUGGUUGAAUCUUUGGAGGUUGAACUCUAUUGUUUACUGCAUAGCUUCUUCUACAUGGUGCUGGUUUAAAAUAAAUAUCAUGCUUAAUGUAAUAUUUUUUUUUUUAUGUUAGGCAAUGAAUGAGGAAGAAGCUAUGGAGAUGAAAGCAACCCUGGAAUCCAAAGGGGAAGUGGAGUUUUUCGUGUGUACCCUUAAGAAAAAUGUGACCAUCAAGAAGAAUAUGGUGUCAAUCUCAAAGGAGAAGAAGAAAGAACACCAGCGGGUUUUCACUCCAUCAGUGAUUGAACCAUCGUUUGGGAUUGGACGGAUCAUAUAUUGUCUGUACGAGCAUUGUUUCAGCACAAGGCCAAGCAAAGCAGGGGAUGAACAAUUGAACGUGUUCCGUUUCCCUCCUCUUGUAGCUCCCAUCAAGUGCACAGUUUUCCCGCUUGUUCAGAACCAACAAUUCGAGGAAGCAGCCAGAGUUAUUUCUAAGGAACUGGCUUCUGUUGGUAUCUCACAUAAGAUUGACAUCACUGGUACGUAAAAACAAUUUGAGAAACGAAGGUUUUUUUUUAUAACUAUUGAAAUGGACAAACUGAGUGAAGAUUUGUGUCUGUGUGUGAAUGUGAAUAGGUACGUCGAUAGGGAAGAGAUAUGCAAGAACCGAUGAGCUUGGAGUGCCAUUUGCAAUAACAGUGGACUCAGAGACAUCAGUGACAAUCAGAGAAAGAGACAGCAAAGAUCAAAUCCGAGUCAGUUUGAAGGAGGCAGCGUCCGUUGUGAGCUCAGUCGCAGAGGGGAAGAUGACAUGGCAAGACGUGUGGGCAAGCUUCCCACACCACUCUUCUGCUGCAGCAGACGAGUAGCUAGCUCUUUCAAUCACCAUGACCAUAAUCCUUACUCGUGUUUUUCUUUUUUACAUUUCGAACUAAAGAGGGAAUUUUAAGUUCAACAAACCAUCAUUGAAUGAUUUGGCUGUAAUGCAUACACAUCACUUCUGGGGUAGAACUUAAAACUCAUGUUCUGCAUAUAUGCAUGUCACUUUUGUAUAAACAAGGUCCUUUUAAUUGCGGUCUUUGUCAAAAGAAAAAAUGAAAAGAAACUCUUGUUAAUGUUUGGGUUGAAGUCUGAAGAAAUCGAUGAUUCAGGGGUGAAGUCGUUUUCGUUAAUGUAACCGCGAGUCAACAAUUUCUGCAUUUCCACCAUCGACCAAAAAAAGAAAAGAAAGUGAAGACUUUAAAACCAAAUUAAAAACAUACGUUACCAAACUUUGUUGUCCAAUAAUGAAAUCAUCAUGCAUAAUCAGAAUAGACGAACCAAAUGCUAAUUAAUACCAAAUUUACGAAGACGACGAAAUACACUAAAACAUGUAUGCAUACCUCUAAUUAGAGACGUUCAUAAAGUUUUAACUCUUACAAGAAUGACGAAUCAAAAGUCCAAAUAAUUAGUAGUAGGUUGUCAAUUUGUCAUCAGUGAAAUAUAUAUAUAUAUAUACAUGCAUAUAAAGAUAAAAUAUCAGAAAUACCUAAGAAUCUACUCAUAUAUAGUACUAAAUUAUUUAUGUUUUACAAAAAUUAUAGUGUAAUCAUGAUCAUAAAGCUUAGAACUAUAUAUAGUACAUGCCCUCUCUCAACUCAAGAUUCGUGCUUCGAGAACAUUGAAGGAACAAUGUCCUGAAGAAGACCAAAGUCAACACCCGCAGGUUGAUGAUUAUUAUUAUUGUAACUAGUAAUCAUCCCAUGACCAUGAUCGUUCGACAUAGAUCCCACUGAUGAUAGAUAAUUGGCAGGAGGAUGUUUCAUCAUGAGAAACUCUUGACGGUGAUGAAGAGGGAAGCUAUGGAGGAAACUGCUUCCACCACCACGGUGACCUAAUAGAUGUUCAGCGGCCACGGUUCCUCUCAACGUCGAAGGGAUCGGAUGGUUGUGUUUUCCUUCGUAUGUUGUUAUUACGAUCGACGGAUCUUGAAACGAUCUUUCUACACGUUUUUUUACGUUGCACUUCUGUGUUGUGCACCUAUAGUAACUCCUGUAAGCGCAUAUAUACAUAGAUAUAUAUUAUGAUAUGAUGAUCUAUAAAUAUAUGUAUACUCGUAAGUCGUAACAUGUAAAUGCAAGGACAACGUAAAUAAAAUGUAUGUGGUAGUGAGGAAGGGAACCUUGGAUAAGGGCUGUUCUUGACGGCCUUUUGUCCAUAUUUUCUCCAUCUAUAGCCAUCUUCAAGAUGAUCAAUCUCGCUUUUGGUCAUAAAUGCAACUUUAGCUUCUCUCUCUUUCUUCUCUCCUUUCUUUUUACCUUGUUUUGUCCUGACCAUACUCAUCAUCCACCAACAAAAUAUCAAUCUCUAGGGUUUUAACUUUGUAAAAAGUUUUAAUUCUUUUAUCAAGUGAUUGUUGAUGAUUUUCGUAAGCUUGAUCACAUUAUAUUAUCUGUCUUUUGGUUCAGCAAAUCUAGUUACGCAAAAAGAAGAAAAGAAAUAUGCGAGAGGAAGAGUGAAAGAAAUGUAAAAGGUUGAAAAAGCACUCACACUUGCUUGGAACUUUCACGAACACCAACACCAUGUUGGUCUCCUUCGUUAUCCUCAUUGGGGUUCUCUUUAGGAUCGGCUUCAUUAGAGGAAGAUGAGACCAUAGGAGAAUUCGAACUAAGAUUUAAGUAAGGGUUGUUUACUAUAUGGCCUAUAUUGGAAGGUGAAACCGGUUGAAAAGGGGAACCAUAAGGUGGGAAUUUAAAACCCUUCUCUAGAGAGUUAUAAUCCAUCACUAAUGAGCUUUGUAAGCAAUCGGUUAUACUCGUGAAUGACACUUCUUCUAAAUAUGUGUUCUUGCUCUCAACAUGAUCAUCCAUUGAUGAAGAGACGGAGAAAAAGAAGAAGAGGAAGAGACAUGGUUCUUCAAACUUAGGUGUUAGGUUAUAUGUGGACUUUGGGUGAUCAAGUCUUAUAAAUACAAGUCCAUUCAACUUUACUUCGAUGGUAUCUUUAAUUUAGUUCUGAAUAUUCAAUUACGGUCUUAAUUAUAUGUUUUUGGAGCGAUAUCAUUUGGAGAGCAUACAUAUAUGUAUAUUGGUCUUAAGAUAAUUAAAAUAGUUUCUCCAACACAUAAUUAAUUAUAUAAUAAACAAAAAUACCGAAUUAUAAUAUUAAUGUACGUAAUUUGAAAUUAUAGUCUCGCUACAAUGUGAAAUACAUAAUAAUUUGAAAGAAUUCAAGAGGGAGCUAGAUAUUGGAAAGUUUAAAAGGGUCAUAAUCUUUAAAGACUUUAGUGGGUAUAAUAUUUUGCUAAAAUAUCUUUGUGUAUGUGAAAAAGAUAGGUUUGAAAAUUUCAACUUAAAAUUUAAUUAGCUAGAGAGCUAUCUAACAAAAAAGUGGUUUCUAUAAAGGAAACAUUUAACUAUAUAUUUCUCUCUAAUCCUAUCUACCACACUAUGCUUUGGCUUUCUUUCCUUUCAAUCGUUUUGUUCUCUCUUUAUUUGUAAACUUAUGAUAUAUAUAAAUUAAAUCGAUCAAAUGAAUCAAUCAACGAUAUCUUUCGUAAAAUGGAAUCCAUAUCCAUAUACAUUAAUAAGGUUUAGUACAAAAAUCACACGCACGGUACAUGCAUGUAGAAUUUGAUGUCUAAAUAUAUGUGUAAUGCACAUAUGAUUAGAUGAUUUUUUUUUUUUUUUUUUUUUUUGUGUGUGCAAAUGAUUGGAUUUGUAAGAAGUAUAUUUACGUAGCUAGAAGUCCUAGUGAGGAAUAUUAAAAAUAAAGAUAAAUAGCUAGAGGUCAAAUGUAUAAAGGCAAUGUAGACAAUUUACAUCUACUUCCAACAUCUUUGCACUCGUCAAAAGCAAACUUUCUUGGUGAAUUAUAACGAAUCAUAUAUUAAUAUGCAUAAACACACACAAAAAGUCUCCAUUUUGUGUCUCUCUAGAAACCCUUUAUAUUGGGGGUUAAUUAUUACAAAUAACCUCCAUAAAAAGAAAAGAUAGCUAAUCUCUUUCAUAUUUAAAUAAGUGUUCUACCAAAGAGAUAAGGGUUUAUUUAAGUUAGAAAUUAAAUAAAUAUACCCCUUGCUUUUGGAGCUACAUUAUUGUUGUUGAUUCAAAGUCAGCGAAGACCAACUUGUCUUGUGAACAGUCAACGUCCUUCAAAGCAAGAACUUCACUUUCUUCAUUAUAUAUAUACUUCAACAAGACAAGUCUUAAACAUUAAUCUUAUCCUGAUAAAGUAUGUAGAAAACGAAUCUAUGAUUGGAUCAAAUAAUAGCAAGUAACAUUCUUAUACGCAAAUGAUUGGACCAAAACAUUAAUUAUAAUACUCUUAGCAUUAUUUGAGAUUCGGAACACAAUAAUAUACUAACCAUAUGAUAUAUAACAUUUCUAUAAAUUGUUAGAAACGUAAAAGGAAAAGAAGAGACGUAUAACGUGGAAGGAAAUGGCAAUGUCUUUGACCAUUAAGGUCAGCAAAGUCGUGCAUGUUACUUGCUCUUCCUUUUUUCUUUUUCUUUAAUGUCUUUGAUGAAUGAUCCAUAAUGACCAAAGCCCUAUGUCAUGUUAUGUAUUUGGUCCUUAAAUUCUUUUUUUUUUUUUUUUUUNNNNNNNNNNUUUUUUUUUUUUUUUUUUUUUAAUGUAUUUGGUCCUUGGUUUCUUAAUUAAAGUCUAUAAUUGCCGCUUUGAUAUUUAAUAAUCACUAUAGUAGUGAUGCAUACUUUAAAGUCUUGAUUGUAUUUUUAAUCACUAUGUGAGAGGUCGAAUUGAAGUGUUCGAACACACUAAUCACAUUCGUGUUGUUAUAAUUGUUUAAGUACAAGUAUAAGUAACUAACCUUAAAAAGGGUUAAACCCAAAGUAUAUAGCAUUCUUUUACACAAAAGUGUUCAGGUGGGAACAGGUUCCACUUCUUUGGAUGAAGGAGCCAAAAAAAAGCAUUCGUUCAUUAGCUUUUCGUUUUGUCAAUUAAAGCACUAUAAUCGGAGUUUUGUGUACGUACGUACGUACGUAGCAUUUCUAGUUACUUUUGUCGAUUACUUGAUUAUGACAGAACCAAAGGUGUUUGAUUAGUCAAUUAGACGUUUGGGCUUAUUUAGUUAUUAUCUUUCUUUCUAGAAAACUUUUAAUCUAAAAAUUCAUAAUAGAUUAUCAUAAUAAAAUUCAAAAAUAGUACGAGAUUAAUUCAUAGGUAUAAAAAUUUUGUGGAGACACUUGCACCGUUGUUGUCGCUUUCUCUUCACCCGUUGACUAUUAUCAUAAAGGAUUUUACAUAUAAAUUCAUAUUAUUAGUUCUGAGUUCUAAUCUGUUUUAUAGACAAACAUUUGUAUUUAAUUAUAGGGAAAAUAACUAAUCUAUCAAAUGAAUCACUAAAUACAUAUUAUUUUUUUAAAUUGUCUAUGUAUGUCGUGUGAUAUAUUUAGUUUCACAAGUAGAUGUACGUAAAUAGAGCUCUAUCGUUUCAAAACUAUACAGUAUCAGUUUCAAUUAUAUAACUAAAAAAAAAA
rnacentral:lncRNA from 1 species